AACGAACGCUGGCGGCAGGCUUAACACAUGCAAGUCGAGCGCCCCGCAAGGGGAGCGGCAGACGGGUGAGUAACGCGUGGGAAUCUACCCAUCUCUACGGAAUAACGCAUGGAAACGUGUGCUAAUACCGUAUACGUCCUUCGGGAGAAAGAUUUAUCGGAGAUGGAUGAGCCCGCGUUGGAUUAGCUAGUUGGUGGGGUAAAGGCCUACCAAGGCGACGAUCCAUAGCUGGUCUGAGAGGAUGAUCGGCCACACUGGGACUGAGACACGGCCCAGACUCCUACGGGAGGCAGCAGUGGGGAAUAUUGGACAAUGGGCGCAAGCCUGAUCCAGCCAUGCCGCGUGAGUGAUGAAGGCCCUAGGGUUGUAAAGCUCUUUCACCGGUGAAGAUAAUGACGGUAACCGGAGAAGAAGCCCCGGCUAACUUCGUGCCAGCAGCCACAGUAAGAC
rnacentral:rRNA from 1 species